GACGAACGCUGGCGGCGUGCCUAAUACAUGCAAGUUGAGCGCGGAAGGUUGGGACUUGUACCAACUGGAUGAGCAGCGAACGGGUGAGUAACGCGUGGGGAAUCUGCCUUUGAGCGGGGGACAACAUUUGGAAACGAAUGCUAAUACCGCAUAAAAACUUUAAACACAAGUUUUAAGUUUGAAAGAUGCAAUUGCAUCACUCAAAGAUGAUCCCGCGUUGUAUUAGCUAGUUGGUGAGGUAAAGGCUCACCAAGGCGAUGAUACAUAGCCGACCUGAGAGGGUGAUCGGCCACAUUGGGACUGAGACACGGCCCAAACUCCUACGGGAGGCAGCAGUAGGGAAUCUUCGGCAAUGGACGAAAGUCUGACCGAGCAACGCCGCGUGAGUGAAGAAGGUGUUCGGAUCGUAAAACUCUGUUGGUAGAGAAGAACGUUGGUGAGAGUGGCAAGCUCAUCAAGUGACGGUAACUACCCAGAAAGGGACGGCUAACUACGUG
rnacentral:rRNA from 1 species